UUAGUGGCGGACGGGUGAGUAACGCGUGGAAAACCUGCCGUAUACUGGGGGAUAACACUUAGAAAUAGGUGCUAAUACCGCAUAAGCGCACCGCUUCGCAUGAAGCGGUGUGAAAAACUCUGGUGGUAUACGAUGGUUCCGCGUCUGAUUAGCUAGUUGGUGGGGUAAUGGCCUACCAAGGCAACGAUCAGUAGCCGGCCUGAGAGGGUGAACGGCCACAUUGGGACUGAGACACGGCCCAAACUCCUACGGGAGGCAGCAG
rnacentral:rRNA from 1 species